CCCUUAGAUGUUCUGGGCUGCACGCGCGCUACACUGAUGCACUCAACGGGUUUACGACCUUGCCCGAUAGGGUUGGGUAAUCUUUUUAAAAUGCAUCGUGAUGGGGAUAGAUUAUUGCAAUUAUUAAUCUUCAACGAGGAAUUCCUAGUAAGCGCGAGUCAUCAGCUCGUGCUGAUUACGUCCCUGCCCUUUGUACACACCGCCCGUCGCUCCUACCGAUUGAGUGCUCAGGUGAAUAAUUCGGACUGCAGCAAUGUUUGGAUCCCGAACGUUGCAGCGGAAAGUUUAGUGAACCUUAUCACUUAGAGGAAGGAGAAGUCGUAACA
rnacentral:rRNA from 1 species